rnacentral:rRNA from 1 species
GUUGCUGAGAAGUUGAUCAAACUUGGUCAUUUAGAGGAAGUAAAAGUCGUAACAAGGUUUCCGUAGGUGAACCUGCGGAAGGAUCAUUAUCGAAUAAACUAGAGGCAGGCUGUUGCUGGCCCUUGUCAUGAGGGUAUGUGCACGCUUGUCCUUUGUUAUUUCUCCCACUUGUGCACACUUUGUAGACUCUGGAGUUUUAUGAAUAAUUUUGUUCGAGUUCUGGGACUGCUGUGCUUUUGAAAGUCAGCUUUGCCUUGCAUUCUCCAGGUCUAUGUUUUUCACAACCUCUUAAUGUCUAGAAUGUUGGAAUAGAAAUGAAACAAUACAACUUUCAGCAACGGAUCUCUUGGCUCUCGCAUCGAUGAAGAACGCAGCGAAAUGCGAUAAGUAAUGUGAAUUGCAGAAUUCAGUGAAUCAUCGAAUCUUUGAACGCAUCUUGCGCUCCUUGGUAUUCCGAGGAGCAUGCCUGUUUGAGUGUCAUUUGACUUCUCAACCACAUCAGUUACUUUUUCUGACUGUGGCUUGGAUGUGGGGGUUGUUUGCAGGCUUCAUCUGAAUGUUGUCGGCUCCCUGAAAUGCAUUAGUGGUAUCUGAGGCUAUUACCUAUAGGUGUGAUAAAUAUCUAUGCCUUUGGUAUGCUGCACAUGAAUCAGAUCGUGCUGCUUCUAACAAAGAGGUUUACUUUUUUGACGUAUUUGACCUCAAAUCAGGUAGGACUACCCGCUGAACUUA